GACAGAGGUGCCGAGCGUUAGGCGGAAUCACUGGGCUUAAAGGGCGCGUAGGCGGGCCACCAAGUCCGGGGUGAAAUCUUUCGGCUCAACCGGAAAAUUGCCUUGGAUACUGGUGGUCUGGAGGGAGGUAGGGGCAUGUGGAACUUCCGGUGGAGCGGUGAAAUGCGUUGAUAUCGGAAGGAACGCCGGUGGCGAAAGCGACGUGCUGGACCUCUUCUGACGCUGAGGCGCGAAAGCUAGGGGAGCGAACGGG
rnacentral:rRNA from 1 species